rnacentral:rRNA from 1 species
GACGAACGCUGGCGGCGUGCUUAACACAUGCAAGUCGAACGAAGUGGCGAACGGGUGAGUAAUACGUGAGUAACCUGCCCUCCUUUUUGGGAUAAGCCUUGGAAACGGGGUCUAAUACCGAAUCAAGGGGGAUGGGCUCGCGGCCUAUCUGCUUGUUGGUGGGGUGAUGGCCUACCAAGGCGGUGACGGGUAGCCGGCCAGAGAGGGUGACCCGCGACAUUGGAACUGGGAUACGGCCCAGACUCCGACGGGAGGCAGCAGUGUGGGAUAUUGGACGAUGGGCGAAAGCCUGAUGCAGCGGCGCCGCGUGGGGGAUGAAGGCUUUCGAGUUGUAAUCCUCUUUCGCGAUCGAAAGGGUAGGUGGAGAAGAAGCGCCGGCUAACUACGUGCCAGCCGCCGCGGUAAUAC